CGUAACAAGGUUUCCGUAGGUGAACCUGCGGAAGGAUCAUUAAAGAAAUGAUUGGGGGAGCCCGCCUGCGCUUAGCUGCGCGGUGGCGCUCCGCCUCUUACACACAGUGGAGUAAUUACUUAUUCUUGGGCUGGGCGAAAGUCCAGCUCGCCAAACACAAACAACUAUUUUCUAUUAUACAGUGUCAUCAAAUCUGCUUACGCAGUAACCAAAAUAUUCAAAACUUUCAACAACGGAUCUCUUGGUUCUCGCAUCGAUGAAGAACGCAGCGAAAUGCGAUACGUAAUGUGAAUUGCAGAAUUCCGUGAAUCAUCGAAUCUUUGAACGCACAUUGCGCCCCUUGGUAUUCCAGGGGGCAUGCCUGUUUGAGCGUCAUUUCCUUCUCAAGCACCUGUGCUUGGUUGUGGGUGACACUCUCUCGAGUUAGCUUGAAAUUGCUGGCCGCACUGCGGUGGAGCAGUUGGCUUGUCUGUCGUGCGCGGUGCCUCGGCGCCGGGCGUGGCUGGCAUGCGAUUGUCGUACUAGGUUUUACCAAUUCGGCAGGAGCGUGCUGGGCAGAGAGACAAUACAACCGCCCUCCCUCUGGCUAACAGUACUCUUUAAGUUUGACCUCAAAUCAGGUAGGAAUACCCGCUGAACUUAAGCAUAUCAA
rnacentral:misc_RNA from 1 species